ensembl:lncRNA
UGGUGGAGGUAGUAGUGGAGGUGGUGGUUGUGCAGGUGGUGUUGGAGGUGGUGGUGGAGGUGGUGGAGGUGGUGGCGAUUUGGAGAUAAUGGGGGAGGUGGUGGAGGAGGUGGUGGUUGCAGAGGUUGUGGUGGAUGUGAUGGAGGUGGUGGAGAUGGUGAUGUAGGUAGUGGUGGUUGUAGAGGUAGUGGUGGAGGUGCUGGAGGUGGUGGAGGUAGUGGUGGAGGUGGAGGUGGUUGUAGAUGUGGUGGUUGUGGAGGUAGUGGUGGAGGUGGAGGUUGUUGUGGAGGUGGUGGUGGUUGUGGAGGUGGUGGAGGUGGUGGUGGUGGUGGAGGUGGUGGUGGUUGUGGAGUUGGUGGUGGUUGUGGAGGUAGUGGUGGAGGUAGUGGUGGUUGU